rnacentral:rRNA from 1 species
CACGUAGGGAGCAAGCGUUGUCCGGAUUUAUUGGGCGUAAAGAGCUCGUAGGCUGUUCGAUAAGUCGGGUGUGAAACCUCCAGGCUCAACCUGGAGACGCCACCCGAUACUGUCAUGACUAGAGUCCGGUAGGGGAGCGUGGAAUUCCUGGUGUAGCGGUGAAAUGCGCAGAUAUCGGGAGGAGCACCAGUAGCGAAGGCGGCUCGCUGGGCCGUUCCUGACGCUGAGACGCGAAAGCUAGGGGAGCGAACAGG